rnacentral:lncRNA from 1 species
GUUGAACUUUUCUCUUCUUUCUCCUGAGAGGUGGGUGGAGAGGCAAACCCGAGAGCUGUCUUGGCAGUGAGAGGCAGGCGUCAGGAGUAACCUGUAGCAGGUGGCAGAGUGAUGCUACAUGGUGCGGGACCAGGUGUGAAGAGGCCGCGUGCAGCUUCUGCCUCAGGCAGGCACAUGUGUCUGUGUCAGCACACACCUCAGCAGGCCCUGAGCUUGUGUGAAGAGAGAUGCCCGGCAGC